CAAAGGGCAGCUACACAGCGAUGUGAUGCUAAUCUCCAAACCAUGUCUCAGUUCGGAUCGGAGUCUGCAACUCGACUCCGUGAAGCUGGAUUCGCUAGUAAUCGCGCAUCAGCCAUGGCGCGGUGAAUACGUUCCCGGGCCUUGUACACACCGCCCGUCAAGCCAUGGGAGCCGGGGGUACCUGAAGUCCGUAACCGCGAGGAUCGGCCUAGGGUAAAACUGGUGACUGGGGCUAAGUCGUAACAAGGUACC
rnacentral:rRNA from 1 species